rnacentral:misc_RNA from 1 species
UACGGAGGGUGUAAGCGUUGCUCGGAAUUACUGGGCGUAAAGGGCACGCAGGCGGCCUGUUAAGUCAGUUGUGAAAGCCCUGGGCUCAACCCAGGAAUGGCAACUGAAACUGGCAGGCUUGAGUACGGGAGAGGGAAGUGGAAUUCCCAGUGUAGAGGUGAAAUUCGUAGAUAUUGGGAGGAACACCAGUGGCGAAGGCGGCUUCCUGGCCCGAUACUGACGCUGAGGUGCGAAAGCGUGGGGAGCAAACAGG